GGAGAGAUGCCCGAGAGGCCGAAGGGAACGGUUUGCUAAAUCGUCGUACCAUUAGGUACCGAGGGUUCGAAUCCCUCUCUCUCCG
rnacentral:tRNA from 1 species